rnacentral:rRNA from 1 species
GACGAAGGAUGCAAGCGUUAUCCGGGUUCAUUGGGUUUAAAGGGUGCGUAGGUGGCCUUAUAAGUCAGUGGUGAAAUCUCUGGGCUUAACCCAGAAAUUGCCAUUGAUACUGUAGGGCUUGAGUAUAGUUGCCGUUGGCGGAAUAUGACAUGUAGUGGUGAAAUACAUAGAGAUGUCGUAGAACACCGAUUGCGAAGGCAGCUGACGAAACUAUAACUGACACUGAGGCUCGAAAGUGCGGGGAUCAAACAGG